AAGCUUUUUAAAUAGCGUUAAAGCUUAUUUUUAGUAGAAAUACAAAAAAUUUUAGAAGACCAAUUUUAUGUCGUAAUAUUUUAUAAAAGAAUUCCAUUAGUUUGGAAGUUAUAAUGUUGAAAUUAGUAGAGUAAUAAAAUUUAUCUUUUGUGUAUUAAUCAAUCCUAACAUUGGAUGGGACAAAUAUUUUGUAUCGAGAAAUAAAUUUGAAUAGUUGUCUUCUAACACAAGUGGUAAUAUAAUUUUAUAAAAAUAAGAGAAAGGAACUCGGCAAAUAUAGAUUUNNNNNNNNNNNNNNNNNNNNCGCUCUUUGUAAAGUGUUUAAUACAUAAGGAGUCCUGCCUGCCCGGUGACUAUUUUAGUUAAACGGCCGCGGUAUCUUGACCGUGCGAAGGUAGCAUAAUCAUUUGCCUUUUAAAUUGGGGCUGGAAUGAAUGGCAAGACGGGAAUCAAGCUGUCUCUCUCUUAUAGUUUUAAAUUAAUAUUUUUGUGAAGAGGCAGAAAUAUAAUCGUAGGACGAGAAGACCCUAUCGAGCUUUUAAUAUAGGAAAAUGUAAUAUAUUUAUUAUUGUUUUAUGCUAAUUAGAAAUUACCAAUUUCUAAUAUAAUUACUAUAAUUAUGAUAAUGUUGUGCAUAUUUUAUUUGGGUUGGGGCAAUCGCGGAGAAUAGUUACCCUCCGCUGUUUUUUUUAGAAAAAAUCUUUUUAUAUUUGAGAUUUUCAAUCGAAGUGAUCCACUAGAAGAAGGUGAUAAAAAGAAUAAGUUACCGUAGGGAUAACAGCGUAAUUUUUUUGGAGAGUUCAUAUUGAUAAAAAAGUUUGCGACCUCGAUGUUGGAUCGGGAUUUCCUGGGGAUGCAGUAGUUCCUAGUGGUUGGUCUGUUCGACCAUUAAAAUCCU
rnacentral:rRNA from 1 species